CCUACGGGUGGCAGCAGUAGGGAAUCUUGCGCAAUGGGCGACAGCCUUGUGCAGCAACGCCGCGGGGAGGGAGGAGGGUUUCGGCUCGUAAACUUCUAUCAACAGGGACGAAAGAAGUGACGGUACCUAAAUAAGACACCCCGGCCAAAUACGUGCCAGGAGCCGCGGGAAUAAGGGGGGGGCAAGCGUUGGUCCGAAUUAAUGGGGGGAAAGGGUGAGGAGGCGGGGUGGUAAGACCGAUGGGAAAGCGCUGGGGUUAACCCGAGGAUUGCAUUUGGAACUAUCAAGCUAGAGUACAGGAGAGGAAAGUGGAAUUCCAAGUGUAGCGGUGAAAUGCGUAGAUAUUAGGAGGAACACCAGUGGCGAAGGCGGCUCUCUGGACUGUAACUGACGCUGAGGCACGAAAGCGUGGGGAGUGAACAGGAUUAGAUACCCCAGUAGUC
rnacentral:rRNA from 1 species